UACGGAGGAUGCGAGCGUUAUCCGGAUUUAUUGGGUUUAAAGGGUGCGCAGGCGGCACGGCAAGCCGGCGGUCAAAUCGCGGGGCUCAACCCCGCCCAGCCGUCGGAACUGCCGGGCUAGAGUGGGCGAGAAGUGCGCGGAAUGCGUGGUGUAGCGGUGAAAUGCGUAGAUAUUAGGAGGAACACCAGUGGCGAAGGCGGCUUACUGGACUGUAACUGACGUUGAGGCUCGAAAGCGUGGGGAGCAAACAGG
rnacentral:rRNA from 1 species